CUGGUGUACCAGUUGUUCUGCCAAGGGCAUGGCUGGGUAGCUAUGUACGGAAUGGAUAAGCGCUGAAAGCAUCUAAGCGCGAAGCCAACUUCAAGAUAAGAUUUCCCACCGCAAGGGUAAGACUCCAGAAAGACUAUCUGGUUGAUAGGUCGAAGGUGUAAGUGCAGCAAUGUAUUUAGCUUAUCGAUACUAAUAGGUCGAGGACUUGACCAAU
rnacentral:rRNA from 1 species